UAAAACCCUUGUCCACAUCAUGUUUAAAGUUAAAAUGAAAAUGCUUAAAAUUUGACUGCCUCGUGGAAAGUUGCUGGAUAUCCUCCCAGCCCUUUUUAUCCCCUUCAGGGGCUUGAAUGGUCACAUGAAAGAAUAGAGGAGCUAUCCAGCAGAAGAAGCUACUAUUGUGCUGAGAUGCGUCACGGCUGCUUAUUGGGAGGAAGUGGAGCAAAGAGGCAUUGGGGAGGGCAGCACAAUGUAGAUACAAUAGCGGAGCCAAUCUGUCACUCCUGACGCUGCCUCCACCUGCUAAGCAGCAGUGGCUCACCUGCUGGGAAGUCAAGUCCACCACAUGUGAAAGAAUGUUCCUUCAACCUCAUGGCAUCACCAGCACUAUGUGUGUAUGUCCAGAUCUGCAGGACUUGGGAGCCCCCCCAGAAAAGGCUGAUGAUAAGCCCUCAUAUCUGCAAGUAGAACUGCUGAAUCUAAGUCCUCUUUGUCAAAUGUUGUAAGCAACAGUAGCCACAAGGCUAUUGAUUGCGAAAAAUUGGAAAAGUGGUACUAUACCGACAAAAAUGGAGUGGCUUGCCAAAUUAUUGGAGUACUACAAUAUAUCCAAAACAAUGGGAGAAAUUGGAAGGAUCUCAAAAGAGAAGAUAGACAGGGAUUGGAAGGUGUUUAAAGGAUACUUGCAAAACCAUAUUGAAAAAUCAGAACUCCUAUUAGAAUAAACAAGUUCCGUUUUAAAUACUGAAAUACUAAAUAAGAUGGAUAACAAUGUGUAAUAGAAAAAGAAGCAUGAAAUUAGGUUAAAGGUGUGUGAAAGAAAGUAAUAGAAGUGGAAAGAAAUUGCAAUUGAGUAGAUUGGAAGUCUAACACAAAGGUGGGGUGAGGGGUGGUGGAUGGUGAUGGGAAAAGGAAUUAUCUGUGGGACUGAAUGUAGGUAUGUUUGAAUAUUCUUAAGGAUUGUAUGAAAUGUAUGUUUGUAUGCUUGUAUAUUCGUAAUAUGUGUGUAUAAAUGCUGAAUUAUUUUAACAAUAAAAACUUUUCAAUUU